rnacentral:rRNA from 1 species
UACGUAGGGCGCAAGCGUUGUCCGGAAUUAUUGGGCGUAAAGAGCUCGUAGGCGGUUUGUCGCGUCUGCUGUGAAAACCUAAGGCUCAACCUUGGGCUUGCAGUGGGUACGGGCAGACUAGAGUGCGGGUAGGGGUGACUGGAAUUCCGUGGUGGUAGCGGUGGAAUGCGCAGAUAUCAGGGAGGAACACCGAGUGGCGAAGGCAGGUCACUGGGCCGCAACUGACGC